UUAGCCCUACGGGGGGCAGCAGUGAGGAAUAUUGGUCAAUGGGCGGGAGCCUGAACCAGCCAAGCCGCGUGAGGGAAGAAGGUACAGCGUAUCGUAAACCUCUUUUGUCAGGGAACAAAGGCGGGGACUAGUCCCCGGAUGAGGGUACCUGAAGAAAAAGCAUCGGCUAACUCCGUGCCAGCAGCCGCGGUAAUACGGAGGAUGCGAGCGUUAUCCGGAUUUAUUGGGUUUAAAGGGUGCGUAGGCGGGGUAUCAAGUCAGCGGUUAAAUCGUGGAGCUUAACUCCAUCCAGCCGGUGAAACUGU
rnacentral:rRNA from 1 species